rnacentral:rRNA from 1 species
AUUUAUUAUCAAUCCACUUUCAAAACUUAAGAAAUUUCACGGUCUUUUAAUUCAUUUUAAAUAAUUUGUAUUGUAACCCAUAUUCCACGAUAAAACUUAACUAAUUUUGUGUUUUAAACUGCACCUUGACCUGAUUUGAAAAUUUUUUAAUAAAAAUAAUUUUAGAAAAUUUUUCUUAUAAAAUAAAUAACGGCGAUAUACAAAUUAUAAGUAAGGUUCAUAUCGAUUAUAUUCAGGUUCCUCUGAUAGACUAAAAACCGCCAAAUCUUUAAGAAGAUAUUUUUAAUUUUACAUUAUUAAAUAAUAGGGUAUUAAAU